CUGGCGGCGUGCCUAACACAUGCAAGUCGAACGGGAAAACAGGGGCAACUCUGUGAGUACAGUGGCGUACGGGUGAGUAACACGUGACUACCUACCCUCGAGUGGGGGAUAACCCCGGGAAACCGGGGCUAAUACCGCAUAACAUCGCAAGAUCAAAGGAGCAAUUCGCUUGAGGAGGGGGUCGCGGCUGAUUAGCUAGUUGGUGAGGUAACGGCCCACCAAGGCGAUGAUCGGUAGCCGGCCUGAGAGGGCGCACGGCCACACUGGAACUGAAACACGGUCCAGACUCCUACGGGAGGCAGCAGUGGGGAAUUUUGCGCAAUGGGGGAAACCCUGACGCAGCAACGCCGCGUGGAGGAUGAAGUCCCUUGGGACGUAAACUCCUUUCGACCCGGACGAUAAUGACGGUACGGGUGGAAGAAGCACCGGCUAACUUCGUGCCAGCAGCCGCGGUAAUACGAGGGGUGCGAGCGUUGUUCGGAAUUAUUGGGCGUAAAGGGCGCGUANGCGGUGCGGUAAGUCACCUGUGAAAUCUCCCGGCUCAACUGGGAGCUUGCAGGCGAAACUGCCGUGCUGGAGUGUGGGAAAGGUGCGUGGAAUUCCCGGUGUAGCGGUGAAAUGCG
rnacentral:rRNA from 1 species